rnacentral:piRNA from 1 species
UUAUAAGUGAUGCAGUAGCCACCAAAGU